UUUGUGUAGGUGGGUGGGUUUAUCUGCAAAUGUGGUUACAUGUAGUCCCUUCCUCUUUUCCCCAAGGCCCCUUUGGACGCUGUGAACACCAGUGUUGUGCUGGACUCUCCUACUGGAGCAAACUGGAAUCAGUGGCAAGGACUUUCGCUGGGAUGGUUGAAGGGGGGGGGGUUGGAACAGUGUGGAACUUGCACUUAAACUGAAACGCACUCGACCCUAGUCACUUUCAUGCACCCACACACACCCUCCAACAGGAGUACACUCACAAACAAACACACACACACACAAUCUCUCUCACACAGACAUUAGAGGGAGAUAGUGAUAUGCUGACUUUCUGUGCAGUCCACUCUCCCUCUCUGGUCUUUGUCCCCGUCACCCUCUUUUGCUGGGAUCUGAUAUUGUUCAGUUGGUUGGUUUAUUUUUGGUUCAUUUUGUCAGUCGUGUCCAUUUUCCCUCUCUGGAUUACAGUUGGGUAACUGAAGUGUAUGUAUCUGUUCGUCAGCCUGUCUGUCUUCGUCCAGUAUCCUUUGAGCCCCCUGUAUGACUGAUUAUUUUAGAGCACAGCCCCCCCCCCCGAUAGUACUUCAGGAAUGUGUGCGAUUGCGGGUGGGAUUUGUCAAUGGACUGAAAACUAAACACAAGUUGGAAUCCGGGUGGAUCUGAACUCUUUGGGGUUUUGUGGAAAUGUAAAAAAAUGACUUUAUUCAAGAUAACUCGUGACACUUUCUGGAAACCAGUUGACAGUAAAAAAAAAAAAAUCAUGUGGAUUUUAUGUCAAGUAAUGCAUGACAAUUGCACUUUCUCAAAAAACAAAUUCACUCACACACCAUUUUUUUUUUUAAAAGCCCCAUGUCCUCAAACAUGUUCAGACACACACACAGAAACACUAAAGCUUUCAUUUCUUUCUGGCUCAUACUACAUGCUGGCACUCACGCUUGCCUUGUCAUAUACUGAUGCAAGGACACACACGUGAGCAUAGAAGCAAACUAAUGCACACAAUGGCACAAGCCGGGAGCGAGGAGCCCACGUCCGCACACUUACACCCAGCGCCCCUCUUGUUUUUAAGUUUUAAUAUUCUUUGCAAAUGGUGUGGUGUCUGAUUUUGUGUUUGUCCAAGCAGCUUUUAUUCUGACCUCCGACCCAUCUGUCUCCUGGCAACCUGGUGUUUUGGUUCUUUGUGUAAAUGUAAAGAGCGGCCAUUUUGAAGGUGUAGUGGGGUGUUGAUCUAGGGAAGUCUGGUGUCAAGCAUUCUGACCCAGGCCAAGGACACUUUGUCUGUGUGUGUGUGUGAGAGUGUGUACGAAUGUGUGUGUGCAUGUGUGUACGAAUGUGUGUGUGUGUGUGUGUGUGUGUGUGUGCGCGCGUGUGUGUUCUUUAGGGAGGGAGGCUGGUGGGGACAUUUUAAGGUGACCUGAAGAAGUGUAUCCUGAGUAGUCGCGAUCCUUUGGAGGUAAAAGCAAAUUCAGUUUUGACAAUGACUGUAGUUGUUAUAAUUACUGUAAAUCUUCUCCUUUUACUUUCUUUUUGGUUUUCUUUUCUUUAUCUUUUUUUUUUCUUUUUUUUUUCUUUUUUUACAAUUAACAGAUAUAAAUGAAUCUGUAUGUAUGAAUAAAUAUAUAACUAUAUUAUUAAGACCUGUGUUUUAUUUCACUGAUCAAAUAAAAAAUCUAGUAAAGCUGUUUGUUGACAGAUGCCUUAAAUAGACAGGGAGAGCUGGAGUGUGUAUACAACCCAUAUGUUUUAAAAUGGUAAAACAUCUGAUAUGAAACAGCUCUCUGGCAUUUAAGAUGUGUCUUCUUGCCUGCUUCUCGAAAUGGU
ensembl:lncRNA